rnacentral:ncRNA from 1 species
ACAUAGUGUAGAGGCUGCGAACGUAAUCAGUAACGGAAGUGAAAGGUGCGGUCGCCGAAACACCUGAGUGUUGGGGGUAGGUCCGAAUAGGUCUGCCACUGUCCGAUAAUUAAGCCCAUUUUUUAUUAGGAGCGCUCACUAUGU